rnacentral:ncRNA from 1 species
AUACAUGCAAUGAUGAAGAAAAGUAAAUUCAAAUGAGUGAUUUUAAGAGAGCAGAUGAUGGUGGAAUAUCUGUAUGAGUUCUGAAUUGAAAGAACACUUCGGAGCAGUUAACUGAAAUUUUUUAGAGUGUAACUAGAAAAGAGUAGGCUUAACCGGUGCCAUACCGUUAAAAAUGGAGGGUAUAAGACAUUAAAGUUUUGUACUUGUUUGAGGUGGAUUUUAAUAUAAAAUCAACUAGGGUGGUACCGCGAAAGUAAUCUCGUCCCUAUG